GUCUCUAUGGCUCAGUCGGUAGAGCGUUGGUCUCAUAUUCUGUCAUCAAUAUGACUUUGUCUUAAGACAAAGACAUCCAAAGGUCGCAAGUUCGAGCCUUGCUAGGGACA
rnacentral:tRNA from 1 species